GAAAAAGACCCUAAUAACUUCAGCUCCGUUACACUACUUAGCUUAAAAUAUGCUGAUAUCUUCUUCUAAUAAGAUGUUUGGCUAUGUCUGAUACACCCGUUACUAACAGUCACAUAAAAUUAAACCAAGAUCUGUAGAAGAAUAGGCCUACCUUCUCUGUUCUAGCUUCAGUGGCCCUUUACAAAGCAAGGUCCAUAAAGAAAUCAUUUCCCGAGUCUGAUGAGGAAGAACCUGACUGAUCUGGACAGUGCCCAGACCUUUGGGGUGAAUCGUAACAGCAAGCCAAUACCCAUCGCCCAAUGUCAGCUCCUAACCUCAGUGAUGCUCUUGUGUCUGAAAAAGAACAAUUCCCUGCAUCCUUGUUCCAAAAUCCAGAAGGCCUUCCAACAAGAGUGUAACCUGCCAAACAGUAAAAGCAAAGAAAAGUAUAAAAUCAAUCAACGGUGGUGUCCAGGGGUCCACAUAUUCACAUGAUUGUGGCAGAAUGGGUUAAUUCCUGGUAUUGUUGAGUGAUAUUUAUCACAACCACCUAUCAGUCCCAACUGCAGCCUGUUUAGAGCUGGGUAAAGUGUUACAUUCAACCUGCCUUAGACCUAUCUUACUCUGUCUAGAUAUUAAACCAACAAGCUGGUUGUUAACGUUUUUAUCGAGUGCUUGGUUUAUUUCAGGAGCUGAGGAUAUAUGACAGAGACCGGUCUCUCCCUGUGGACGCACAAAGGUUUCUUUGAAGUACCAGGUGGGGUGCAGCAGGACAGACGAGCCCUCGCAGAGACACAUACCUCUAGCUUCCAGCCCCUGGACCUGAGAAAGGCCAUGAACCAGAAUUCUGCCCAAAUACAAACCAUUUUACCAUACUAGGAUUCCACAAGCUCCAGUCUGGAUCCAGAACACCUGAGAAGAGAUGAUGCCAAUCCCUCAGAGGACCUCAGAUGAUGCUAACCCUGAAACAACAAACAGAACUACCACAUUUUGCUAUAAGUUUGAUUGCAUCAUAUAAUAAUGGUUAGAGAGUUGGACUUGUAACCUGAAGGUCGCAGGUUCGAGUCUCGGUGCUGGCAGGAGUUGUAGGUGGGAGGGAGUGAAUGAACAGCGCUCUCUUCCACCCUCAAUACCCAUGGCUGAAGUGCCCUUGAGCAAGGCACUGAACCCCCAGUUGCUCCCCGGGCGCUGGAUAUAUAGCUGCCCACUGCUCCGGGUGUGUGUUCACGGUGUGUUCACUUCUCACUGCUGUGUGUGUGCACUUGGAUGGGUUAAAUGCAGAGCACCAAUCCUGAGUAUGGGUUACCAUACUUGGCAAAUGUCACAACUUUCACUUUUUCACUUUUUUUUUCAUAUGCACAUAAACUGACAGUCACCACUGAUAAGCUACUACUAAAUAUUGUAGAAAUGUAAUUUUCUGUAAAGUUGUUUUGCAACAAUUUGUAUCGUAAAAAGCGUUAUACAAAUAAACCUGAAUUGAAUUGAAUUGCCAUUUCCAAACCCUUCCACUGUAUCUGCCACUGCCUGUCUUUCAGGGCCACACUCGUGACCAAAGGUCCUUUACUAGCUUCGCAUAUGUUUCCUUCUGCCCCUUGUCAUCUAAACCUAUGGCUAAUCCCACUCAAAACUGAGGACUGCCAUGGCUUUCUGUUGCAGUGCUCCCUUAAUAUAGAAAUGUAGCACCAUUUCUUGACUGAGUCAACAAAAGUUGCAUUUAUUGUUUUGCUCACAAGUGGACCAUAUAGGAGCAAGACUGGACCAAGACUCUGUUUCUUCAUUCAUCUCCUAUUGACACACAAGCCAGUGAGCAUUGUCUCUCGCCACAGACAGUUCAAGGUCCAGCCUCCAGCUUCAGCUUACAGAGUGUGAUGAUGAUUAUCCCAUAGGCUUGGAAAACUUUAUUAUGCUUUCAGCCUGCUUCCAGGGGCCUCCUUGCCACGUGUGUGAUUGUACCCUUUUGUUGUGGAGGUUUUACUACUGGAGUGGGUGCCAGCAUACCAACACUGGCAGAGGGUCUGGCUCUUCACCAAAGAUAUCCACUCUCUCUCCUUCCUAGCCGCAAGCUACGUCCUUGCUAUAUUGUGUGUGUAGGUACACACAAAGAAAGGUGAGAACAAUUAACAAAGUGAGAACUUGACAAUGAGGGGGUGUGGUAAUGG
ensembl:lncRNA